rnacentral:snRNA from 1 species
CUCUAGGACAAAACUUGCUCA